GACGAACGCUGGCGGCGUGCCUAAUACAUGCAAGUCGAACGAGAGCGACCGGUGCUUGCACUGGUCAAUCUAGUGGCGAACGGGUGAGUAACACGUGGGUAACCUGCCCAUCAGAGGGGGAUAACAUCCGGAAACGGAUGCUAAAACCGCAUAGGUCUUCGAACCGCAUGGUUUGAAGAGGAAAAGAGGCGCAAGCUUCUGCUGAUGGAUGGACCCGCGGUGCAUUAGCUAGUUGGUGAGGUAACGGCUCACCAAGGCCGUGAUGCAUAGCCGACCUGAGAGGGUGAUCGGCCACAUUGGGACUGAGACACGGCCCAAACUCCUACGGGAGGCAGCAGUAGGGAAUCUUCCGCAAUGGACGCAAGUCUGACGGAGCAACGCCGCGUGAGUGAAGAAGGUUUUCGGACCGUAAAACUCUGUUGUUAGAGAAGAACAAGUGCUAGAGUAACUGUUAGCGCCUUGACGGUAUCUAACCAGAAAGCCACGGCUAACUACGUG
rnacentral:rRNA from 1 species